CCUGCCCGGUGUACUUUGGUGUAAACGGCCGCGGUACUCUGACCGUGCAAAGGUAGCAUAAUCAUUUGCCCUUUUAUUGGGGGCUGGAAUGAAUGGAAUGACGUAGUUCUAGCUGUCUCUUUCUUUUUUUUGGAAAUUGCUGUUUUUGUGAAGAAGCAAAAAUUUUAAAAAGGGACAAGAAGACCCUAUUAAGCUUUACCUUAAAAUUAUUAACAAGGUGUUUUAUAAAUUAUACAGCUGUUUUAUUUAGGGGUUUGGUUGGGGUGACCAGAGAAGACGAAAAUCUUCUCGUGCUUUCAAAACUGUAUGUUUAUUAUUAUUGGGCCAGUAGUUUCUGAUAGUAAGAACAAGUUACUAUAGGGAUAACAGCGUAAUUUUUUCAGAGAGUUCAUAUCAAAGAAAAAGAUUGCGACCUCGAUGUUGACUUAUUGUUUCCUUAUGUGGAUCGUGUUAUUUAUUGAGUUUUAGCACAGGUGUAGCAGCUAAAAGGGUUGGUCUGUUCGACCAUUAAAACAAU
rnacentral:rRNA from 1 species